rnacentral:rRNA from 1 species
GACGAACGCUGGCGGCGUGCUUAACACAUGCAAGUCGAGCGGUAAGGCCCUUUCGGGGGUACGACGAGCGGCGAACGGGUGAGUAACACGUGGGUGACCUGCCCUCAGCUCUGGGAUAAGCCUGGGAAACCGGGUCUAAUACUGGAUAUGACUCCAUGACGCAUGUUGUGGGGUGGAAAGCCUUGUGCGACUGAGGAUGGGCCCGCGGCCUAUCAGCUUGUUGGUGGGGUGANGGCCUACCAAGGCGACGACGGGUAGCCGGCCUGAGAGGGCGACCGGCCACACUGGGACUGAGACACGGCCCAGACUCCUACGGGAGGCAGCAGUGGGGAAUCUUGCGCAAUGGGCGAAAGCCUGACGCAGCGACGCCGCGUGAGGGAUGACGGCCUCGGUUGUAA